GGUCGCGCAGAAGGCCUGUUUCCUACGCUACACACGGGGACUGGUUCCGGGUUCUUCUGUCCCCGGACCUGAGGGAGAGAGGGCCGCGUGCGCACGGAGACAUCCCUCUGGUUCUCACUGUUAAACCCUCCGAGAAGCGAAUGUCGCGGAGCGGCGUGGGGCGGGGCGCGGUCCGUCCCCCAGCGCCACCUGUUCGCAGGCAGUGCGCGUCUCAGCGCGCCCACCACACGGGGCUGCGGCUCAGCGCGGC
rnacentral:sRNA from 1 species